AGCGAACGCUGGCGGCAGGCUUAACACAUGCAAGUCGAGCGCCCCGCAAGGGGAGCGGCAGACGGGUGAGUAACACGUGGGAACGUGCCUUUUGGUUCGGAACAACCCAGGGAAACUUGGGCUAAUACCGGAUAAGCCCUUACGGGGAAAGAUUUAUCGCCAAAAGAUCGGCCCGCGUCUGAUUAGCUAGUUGGUGGGGUAAUGGCCCACCAAGGCUACGAUCAGUAGCUGGUCUGAGAGGAUGAUCAGCCACAUUGGGACUGAGACACGGCCCAAACUCCUACGGGAGGCAGCAGUGGGGAAUAUUGGACAAUGGGGGCAACCCUGAUCCAGCCAUGCCGCGUGAGUGAUGAAGGCCUUAGGGUUGUAAAGCUCUUUUAGCAGGGAAGAUAAUGACGGUACCUGCAGAAAAAGCCCCGGCUAACUUCGUGCCAGCCGCCGCCGUAAGAC
rnacentral:rRNA from 1 species